AUACCACAGGGAGGUGGCACAAAACCGGUGACAAGUGUCUCAUUGGUGGAGACACUUGUCACCACCGUAACGGACCAACAAAGCCAAAUAAAACCCAAAAAGCAAAACCAAACUAACCAUUUUCCAAAACACUUCUCUCUCUUAACUCCAAAACCGAAAUUGCUCAGCAAUUUAAAUCCUCUUCUCCGAUCCUAACCUACCGGAGAAAACGGUGGUUGCCGGCCAACGACGUCAUCACCACCUUCUUCUCCAGUGAACCAAAACACACAAAACCCAAAACUCCAACAAUAACCCCUCCUUAUUUUGGCCCAUGAUUAUGAAUUUGACCCAAAAAUAACCAAGUCCUAACCAAAACUCCAGACCGGGAACCCUAAAACAAAAACCCUAACUCAAACAAAAUGAUAUUAAACCCAGAAUCAAAGGCAAAGUGAGCAAUUACUAAAGGAAUAAGGAUCGGCAAAAGGAUUUCUACACUAUAAUCAAUUUUAAAAAGGCGAGAAGAGCUCAAAACUACCUAAUCGGAGCGAGUCUGAAGUGAUUCCGGCAAUGCUUCGAAGGUACAUUGAUUGCUUACGAGGAUGACAUGGAAAGACAUCAAUAUUAAGCGCUACAUGAAGGAUGAUGUUGAGCACUGAUUAUGAAAAAUAAAGAACGUGUACACGGGCUCACACGACUUCUAUUGUUUUCUAGCUUUGUUAUUUUAUAAAGAAAUGUAUCAUCAAUUUUUGUGCUUAACUGAAACUGUAUGUAAUGAAAAUGUUGUAUUUAAAAUGUAUCUUAUUUUCAUA